rnacentral:rRNA from 1 species
GACGAACGCUGGCGGCGUGCUUAACACAUGCAAGUCGAACGGAAAGGCCCUGCUUUUGUGGGGUGCUCGAGUGGCGAACGGGUGAGUAACACGUGAGUAACCUGCCCUUGACUUUGGGAUAACUUCAGGCAACUGGGGCUAAUACCGGAUAGGAGCUCCUGCUGCAUGGUGGGGGUUGGAAAGUUUCGGCGGUUGGGGAUGGACUCGCGGCUUAUCAGCUUGUUGGUGGGGUAGUGGCUUACCAAGGCUUUGACGGGUAGCCGGCCUGAGAGGGUGACCGGACACAUUGGGACUGAGAUGCGGCCCAGACUCGUACGGGAGGCAACAGUGGGGAAUAGUGCACAAUGGGCGGAAGCCUAAUGCAGCAACGCCGCGUGCGGGAUGACGGCCUUCGGGUUGUAAACCGCUUUCGCCUGUGACGAAGCGUGAGUGACAGUAAUGGGUAAAGAAGCACCGGCUAACUACGUG